GGAAACUUGAAAAUUACCGUUGGAUCGAAAAAUGGACGUCCGAGAUUCGUCCACGUCACCAUGAGUAAAAAUUUUACUCAUGAGUGAAUCCACGAGUAAAAUUUUUACUCGUGAUGAUAUGGACAAAUCUUAAAUGUUUAUUUUUCAAACUAAUGAUAGUUUCCAAGCUUCA
rnacentral:pre_miRNA from 3 species